GAGCUGGUUGCAACAUCUGUCUCUCCACUGAUUGCCAGGGUUGAUUCGGCCGAUCUGGCUGGCUAGGCAGGUGUCCCCUUCCUCCCUCAUCGCUCCACGUGCGACCCUCUCAAAGAUGCGUGCUCGUCGAAGAGGACGACCAUCUCCGAUGGAGGAGGAUCAGUCUUCGAUCAAGAAUAUAUGAGUGGCUGCACUCCCCAGCUAGAACCUCCAAACAAGCUCUCA
rnacentral:lncRNA from 1 species